UACAGAGGUCUCAAGCGUUGUUCGGAUUCAUUGGGCGUAAAGGGUGCGUAGGCGGCGCGGUAAGUCGGGUGUGAAAUCUCGGAGCUUAACUCCGAAACUGCAUUCGAUACUGCCGUGCUUGAGGACUGGAGAGGAGACUGGAAUUUACGGUGUAGCGGUGAAAUGCGUAGAUAUCGUAAGGAAGACCAGUGGCGAAGGCGGUCUCCUGGGGCAUUCUUGACGCUGAGGCGCGAAAGCUGGGGGAGCGAACGGG
rnacentral:rRNA from 1 species